UUUUUCCCUCCUACAGUUACUGAUGCAAUGGGAAUUUACGAGUUUAUUUUUUUGGUUUUGAAAAUAUUUAUUGAUAAUCAAAGAAUUGCACAUCAUUGAAGGCAUCCGACAACUUGUUUCUAUCCGAGCAAGCUACACGUUAGAGACUGUUGAAGCCGAAAAGAUAUCUCUUGAUCAUGUGGCGCAUCUUAAACCAUCUAAUGGGGACUCUGUUGCAACUCAUGACUCUGCACCUUACCGGGACACAUAAUGCCAUCAAGAUGCUGAACAACAGAAUUAGAGUGCUACAUCAUUCUUCUUGCUAUGCAAAAAGCUA